UGCGCCGGUUUCCCGUUCGUCUGUCGACGCAAAACGAAACAAAACGAAAAUAUCAAUGGCGAACCCCCCUUCCACCCCACUCCUCUUCGCCUCCUCCCACCCAACCCCGCCGCCGGUGACCUCCUCUUCCCCCACCACCGGUGCCCUCUCCCCUCCCCUCCCAGAUCGACUAGACCAGAUCCGGCCAGGCUCUCCAUCCCUCCUCGCGCCUGAAACACUAGAAGCCCCUAUUUUUCCUACCCAAACGCCGCCGCACUCCGCCGACUCCCCAAUCCCCGCCGGCGACCUCUACUCACCCUCUCCUCUGCCCCUCACUUUCCCUCCAAAGGGAAGGCCCCAGACCGGCCGGAUCCACCAUGCCCACAGUGGGGCUUCCGGAUCCGACGCCCGCAACCAGAGGAGGAGUGCCUUCCGGAUCCCAUCUGCUCUCUUCCACAAUUCCACCCAUGGAGGUCUUCUUCUUCAUCUCCAUACCUGAUUCGUGAGCUUUUUUUUGUGUGUGCAGGUUGCUCUGAUCUGAUCUGGUGAAGGGGGCCGUGGAGAAGCUGCUCCCAUCUGCCAGCCAAGGAGAAGCUGCUCAACAUCACCACCAUCUGCUCCAAUUAAUCCGCCUGUAACGUAACCCGAGGUGGCAUCUCUUCCUUCGUUCAGAUUUGGCCACCCACGCACACUUUGGGAUCCAUCUAGUUUGGGUGAAACGGAGGGUGCCUUAUUUUUUUGGUUUCUCUUCUGCUGUGUCAAACGCAUCAGCAGCUCACGUAGCUUCUUGUUGGUAACAAAUACGUACAUCAAUGGACCCAAGUAGCCUGGAUGUACUCCCUCAGUCACAAAAUAAGUGACUCGACUUUGUACUAACUUUGUACUAAAGCUAGUAUAAAGUUGAGUCACUUAUUUUGGGACGGAGGAAGUAUUAUUUUUUGGUAACAAAUACAUUGACUCCAACCAUCAAUUAAUUCUGUACUUAUUGCAGAUUUCUUGGCCGUUGCACUUGGAUUGACUCAGCAACACUUUAGUUUUACUUCCCUCUAGCUGGCUAGCUAACAUUUUUAAGGUUCAGUGCACCGCAAUAAAUUGUUGGGUCAAAUUCUGCCCUGAUAGUCUGAUACACACCCAUUUACUUCACUGAUGAUGAAUGGGUUGUAGAUGUUGUCGUUCCGUGUUAUCCAGGGUUCGCUGCUCUUUAGCGAGAAUCAUUUGAGUGCUACUAGUACGUUGUCUCUUUCUUGCUCGUGCAUUUUUGGAUUCCUCGCCAUGUCAUGUGUUAGUAAAGUGCUAAAGCCGCUUUCCUGUGUACCACACUAGACAUGUUAGCAUCAUUGGCAUAUGGUGGCUGUGUAAUCACCAACAUGGCAACAUGUCUGAGUCGCUUGUUUUCUUUUUGCUUCUGUUCGUUUGUUUCUCAUCCGUAGAAAAAUUUCUAAACUCAUUCACUAGCAGGUUGCUUUCCUUCUAUCAUAAGUAUUGCCAAUUUGUGUAUACCUUGAUUCAGAAAUCAAUCACAUCUUGAUUCAGAAAAACCAUACUACACAAUUAUGCUAUUUCCUGACAUGAGAAGAACACCCCAGCGCAUAACUAGUCUGUAGACACGUGCCAUGGAAAUUCUGCCAUUUUCUUGGGUUAAAGAAACAUUUUCUUUUAUUCAGUCGUGGCAUGACACCAAAAGAACCUAGUAUGUAACUAGUGCUAUAUAGAUUCGAUUCUUCUGAAACUUAUGCUUUUUUUGUUCGAAGACUGAACUUAUCCAUUUGAUAUUGAAAAUUGAACAUCAUAAGUCAGAUUGCCAUGGGUUCAUAAGUCUGACCUACUUCUGUUUUUAUGGAUCUUGGAAAUAUGAUUGAUGGUGCAUUUGGGUUCAGGUAAAGGAGGGAACAGUUCUGAGCACUCUGCAGGUGAUCCAGAGGUUGAUCCCAGUUCUAUUUCGUAUUUGAUCGCCGGUCUGAUGGAUUGCUACUACUGCUAGUUGGUGGUCAUGGCAGGGACAGAGACGGCCACCGAGCGAGCGAGGGAGGGCCCAUGGCGCUCUCCUGCAUGAGCUGCCCGUCCGUUGCCAGCGGUCCCUCCGUGCGCCGGCACGCGGCGAGUCCGCCCUGGUCGUCCGUCGCCUUUUCCUUUGCCAGAUGCAUUGGGAGAUCGGCCGCCGCCGCCUCAGGGUGGCGCAUUGACGCCAUCGCCGAGAACGGAGGAUAAUGAGAUGUUGAAGCGGCAGAGUGAAUCCAUGAGACUGUAGUGCAAUUGCACCAUUUCAUUGAAUAUUACUCAGGAAUAAGGACAUUUCAAUGGCAGAUUAGCUCUAUUUUUCUUUUUCAUUUUUCUUACUAUUGGAGUGAGGACAUGUAGAAUGAGAAACUGUGUGGUAGCAGAUAUGGCAACUGUGUGAUAGUAGAAUCAAUAAUAAGGAAUAUGUCAACUGUGUGAUAGUGACAUUUUUCCAUCACUAUUGUUUCUCGGAAUUGUAUGCAUAAAAUGAAAUUGGUUGAUUUUAUUUUUUU